UACGUAGGGGGCAAGCGUUGUCCGGAGUUACUGGGCGUAAAGCGCACGCAGGCGGUCUGUAAGUUUGGAGUGACAGUUGGUGGCUUAACUGCCAAAGUGCUUUGAAAACUGACAGACUUGAGGGCUUCAGAGGGACACGGAAUUCCGGGUGGAGUGGUGAAAUGCGUAGAGAUCCGGAGGAACACCAAAGGCGAAGGCAGUGUCCUGGGGAGUACCUGACGCUCAGGUGCGAAAGCCAGGGGAGCGAACGGG
rnacentral:rRNA from 1 species